rnacentral:rRNA from 1 species
GUGGGGAAUAUUGCACAAUGGGCGCAAGCCUGAUGCAGCGACGCCGCGUGGGGGAUGACGGCCUUCGGGUUGUAAACCCCUUUCAGCACAGACGAAGCGCGAGUGACGGUAUGUGCAGAAGAAGCACCGGCCAACUACGUGCCAGCAGCCGCGGUAAUACGUAGGGUGCGAGCGUUGUCCGGAAUUACUGGGCGUAAAGAGCUUGUAGGUGGUUUGUCGCGUUGUUCGUGAAAACUCACAACUCAAUUGUGGGCGUGCGGGCGAUACGGGCAGACUAGAGUACUGCAGGGGAGACUGGAAUUCCUGGUGUAGCGGUGGAAUGCGCAGAUAUCAGGAGGAACACCGGUGGCGAAGGCGGGUCUCUGGGCAGUAACUGACGCUGAGAAGCGAAAGCGUGGGGAGCGAACAGGAUUAGAAACCCCGGUAGUCC